rnacentral:rRNA from 1 species
UACAGAGGUCUCAAGCGUUGUUCGGAUUCAUUGGGCGUAAAGGGUGCGUAGGCGGCGCGGUAAGUCGGGUGUGAAAUCUCGGAGCUUAACUCCGAAACUGCACUCGAUACUGCCGUGCUUGAGGACUGGAGAGGAGACUGGAAUUUACGGUGUAGCGGUGAAAUGCGUAGAUAUCAGGAGGAACACCGGUGGCGAAGGCGGGUCUCUGGGCAACAACUGACGCUGAGGAGCGAAAGCGUGGGGAGCGAACAGG